ensembl:rRNA 5S_rRNA 5S ribosomal RNA
GUCUAUGGCCAUACCACCCUGAACGCGCCGAAUCUCGUUUGAUCUUGGAAGCUAAGCAGGGUUGGGCCUGGUUAGUACUUGGAUGGGAGCCAAAUAAAAAUAAAUACAUCUUUUCUGAAAAAAGAGAGAGAGACA